UAUGUCAGUAGUGAAAGCGUGUGGCUCAACCAUAUAUACAUUACUGAAACUGCUAAGCUAGAGGGCGAGAGAGGUAACUAGAAUUCCUUGUGUAGGAGUGGAAUCCGUAGAUAUAAGGAGGAAUACCGAUGGCGUAGGCAGGUUACUGGCUCGUCCCUGACACUGAGGCACGAAAGCGUGGGUAGCAAACGGGAUUAGAUACCCCGGUAGUCCACGCUGUAAACUAUGGAUACUA
rnacentral:rRNA from 1 species